rnacentral:rRNA from 1 species
CCUACGGGUGGCAGCAGUGGGGAAUAUUGCGCAAUGGGCGAAAGCCUGACGCAGCGACGCCGCGUGAGGGAUGAAGGUCUUCGGAUCGUAAACCUCUGUCAGCAGGGGAGAACGGUCACUGUGCUAAUCAGCAGUGAAUUGACGGUACCUGCAAAGGAAGCACCGGCUAACUCCGUGCAAGCAGCCGCGGUAAUACGGAGGGUGCGAGAGUUAAUCGGAAUUACUGGGGGUAAAGCGCUCGUAGGCGGUAUGUCAAGGUAAGGGUGAAAACACCGCGGUUAACGCCGGUACAGCCUUUGAAACUGGCAAACUUGAGUUGGCGAGAGGUACGCGGAAUGCGCGGUGUAGCGGUGAAAUCCAUAGAUAUCUGGCAGAACACCGAUGGCGAAGGCAGCGAACCGGCACCAGACUGACGCUGAGGAACUAAAGCGUGGGUAGCGAACAGGAUUAGAUACCCUAGUAGUC